ACAGGGAUUGCCCCAGUAACGGCGAGUGAAGCGGCAACAGCUCAGAUUUGAAAUCUGGCCCCCCAGGGGCCCGAGUUGUAAUCUGCAGAGGAUGCUUUUGGUGACGCGCCCGCCGAGUCCCCUGGAACGGGGCGCCACAGAGGGUGAGAGCCCCGUAUGGCAGGACGCCGAGCCUCUGUAAAGCUCCUUCGACGAGUCGAGUAGUUUGGGAAUGCUGCUCUAAAUGGGAGGUAAAUUUCUUCUAAAGCUAAAUACCGGCCAGAGACCGAUAGCGCACAAGUAGAGUGAUCGAAAGAUGAAAAGCACUUUGAAAAGAGGGUUAAAAAGCACGUGAAAUUGCUGAAAGGGAAGCGCUUGUGACCAGACUUGCGCCCGGCGGAUCAGCUGGCGUUCUCGCCAGUGCACUCCGCCGGGCUCAGGCCAGCAUCGGUUUCGCCAGGGGGACAAAAGCGCCGGGAACGUGGCUCCCCCCGGGGAGUGUUACAGCCCGGCGCAGAAUGCCCUUAGGCGGGACCGAGGAACGCGCACCGCAAGGAUGCUGGCGUAAUGGUCAUCAGCGACCCGUCUUGAAACACGGACCAAGGAGUCAAGCAUUGGGGCGAGUCUUUGGGUGUAAAACCCGCAGGCGCAAUGAAAGUGAACGCAGGUGAGAGCUUCGGCGCAUCAUCGACCGAUCCUGAUGUUCUCGGAUGGAUUUGAGUAAGAGCCUUAACGCUUGGACCCGAAAGAUGGUGAACUAUGCCUGAAUAGGGUGAAGCCAGAGGAAACUCUGGUGGAGGCUCGCAGCGGUUCUGACGUGCAAAUCGAUCGUCAAAUUUGGGCAUG
rnacentral:rRNA from 1 species